GACGAACGCUGGCGGCGCGCUUAACACAUGCAAGUCGAACGGAAAGGCCUGCUUUCCCUUGUGGAUUGCGGGUACUCGAGUGGCGAACGGGUGAGUAACACGUGAGUGAUCUGCCCCCAACUUGGGUAUAAGCCUGGGAAGCUGGGUCUAAUUCCCGAUAGGACUGCAGGGUGGUGCCUGUGGUGGAAAACGAUUUUCUAGUGGUUGGGGAUGAGCUCGCGGCCUAUCAGCUUGUUGGUGGGGUAAUGGCCUACCAAGGCGGCGACGGGUAGCCGGCCUGAGAGGGUGGACGGCCACAUUGGGACUGAGAUACGGCCCAGACUCCUACGGGAGGCAGCAGUGGGGAAUAUUGCACAAUGGGCGGAAGCCUGAUGCAGCGACGCCGCGUGGGGGAUGACGGCCUUCGGAUUGUAAACUCCUUUCGACCGCGAGGAAGCCACCUGGUUGGAAGGGUGGUGACGGUAGUGGUAGAAGAAGCACCGGCUAACUACGU
rnacentral:rRNA from 1 species